AGUUCUAUAGUGCAGUGGUUACCAUGUCUGCCUUACAUGCAGAAGGUGCUGAGUUCAAGCACUAGUGGAACAA
rnacentral:tRNA from 2 species